rnacentral:snRNA from 1 species
AUACUCUGGCUUCUCAGCAAAUCGUAUAAAUCUUUCACAUUUUACAAAAG